GACAAGACUCAUAACUGCUAUGUAUAUUGCUAUAACAUUGAGAUACUGAAAUAUGAAGAAUAUGCAGUGGAUACUGAAAUAUAUGCUUACAAAAAAAGUUAGACUAGUUUCUUUUUUAGCAACGAAUUGUGAUUGGAUACUGCUAUUGCUAUAACAUUGCUAUAACUACUAUUUGCCAGCACUGUGCUAUCACUGCUAUUUGCCAGCACUUCUAUUGUUGUCUCUAUUUUAUGAAUUGGAACCGUUAUUUGUUGAUUGGUAGUUCUUGAUUAGCUCCUUCGUUAUUUCAGUGACUGGUGAGCCUAAUCAAAAUCUACCAAUUAAUGAAGUAGGUUCAGCUAUGCAACCUAUAAAGAAGAGGAAAUCUAGUGCAAGUGGUUCUAGGCAAACAUCUGCUUGCUGGGAACAUUUUAUUAGAUUACCCGAUGACCUAGUUGAUGCACCCACUGCAGCCUGCAAACACUGCCAUAAAAAAUACUUGUGUGACCCUAGGACUCACGGCACCACUAAUUUGAACCACCAUAUUUUAAAAUGUUCUAAGAAGCCCCUUGUCGUGUCAACUGACUCCACACAAACUAUUCUAACAUACCCAAGUGUAGAUGGUAAACUGGUUCAAGUUAGCUCUAGAUUUGACAAGAAAGCUUGUAGAAGUGCUUUGUCCUAUGCCUUCUUAUAUUCUACACAGUAGACACUGUUGCUUUGUCCUAUGCCUUCUUAUAUUCUACAUAUAGUGGUGGAAACGUAAUUCAAUCGAAUAUCCUAUUUUAUCUACAAUGGCUAAAGAUAUUUCAGCCACACCAGUGUCUACUUUUGCUUCUGAAAGUGCUUUUAGCACAGGAGGGAGAGUCAUAGAAACCUAUAGGAGUUCUCUAACUGCUGAAAUGGCCGAGGCUUUAAUUUGCACCCAGAAUUGGUUAAGGCCUUCUUUUACCUAUUUCAAAGAUAUGAAUCUCAUGGAAGAUUUUGAGCUUUCAGAAGAUAUUGUAACAGAGUUUCAACAAAUGUCUUUAGCAGCAAAAGGAGUAUCAGGUGUCUCAUCAUCACAGUCUCAGCCACAACCUUCGGGUUGUGCUUGAAAUGGAUGUCAACUAUGUUUUUUGAUUUUUUGGAGUCAUGCAUGAUUUUUUGUUGAUGGUCAACUAUGAUUUUUGAUUUUUUGGAGUCAUGCAUGACCUAUAUAUAUGAGUUUUUGGCCAGUAAGUACCAUUGAUCUAACUUACUGAAGUGAUGAAACGGUUUAUUAUCGUCACAUUGAUUGUGCUCAAGUUUAUGGCAACGAGAAGGAGGUAAUUCAUUGUUUGUUUUCUCAACGGUGAUGCGAUUUUAUGUGUGAGGUAAAUGAUUAGUUGACUUCUUCUUUUGCAUAUUGGCUCUGUAUUGAAGAAACUGUUUGAUGAUGGUGUUGUGAAACGUGAAGAUUUGUGGAUUACCUCGAAACUCUGUGCUGUGAAUAAUGGUAUUGGUAUCGGCAUCUUCCGAUACCGUUUUGUUGGGUCCGUUUUUGCAGUAUCAGACGGAUUUUUAAAACCGUGGUUUUAGCUAAAUGAGUUAAUUAAUGAUGCUGGUAGAAAAAUAGUUUUAUGAAUUUGUUAGUCUCUUCUUUGCUGUUCAGAAACUAAGGAUUUAAUAUGAAGGUCUGUACUAUAGGAAU